GUUGGGCGAGAAACGAAGGGAAGGGGAGAGGGUCUGAAGGGACCUGAAAGGAGAAGGGCAAGACGAUGGAACCUGGAAGAGGGUUGAGGGGAGGGGAAGGGGCCAGGGGGACCACUGGGGACAAGGGGGAGAGAACUGAAGGGAAACACGCGGAGGAGCGGGGCUGGGAGACCACAGGGAGAGUUUGGGGAGACCUGGGAACUGCGGAGAGACAGGGCUGCGGGCCCGGCGAGGCGUUUCCAUUCAGCGAAUGGUUGAAAACCCAGCGUAAACGCGGCUCCCGGCGUCUGC
rnacentral:lncRNA from 1 species